rnacentral:rRNA from 1 species
GUGGGGAAUUUUGGACAAUGGGGGAAACCCUGAUCCAGCAAUGCCGCGUGUGUGAAGAAGGCCUUCGGGUUGUAAAGCACUUUUAUUCGGAGAGAAAUCCCUUGGGCUAAUACCCUGAGGGUCUGACGGUACACGGAUGAAUAAGCGCCGGCUAACUACGUGCCAGCAGCCGCGGUAAUACGUAGGGCGCGAGCGUUAAUCGGAAUUACUGGGCGUAAAGCGUGCGCAGGCGGUUUUGUAAGACAGAUGUGAAAGCCCCGGGCUUAACCUGGGAAUUGCAUUUGUGACUGCAAGGCUAGAGUGUGUCAGAGGGAGGUGGAAUUCCGCGUGUAGCAGUGAAAUGCGUAGAGAUGCGGAGGAACACCGAUGGCGAAGGCAGCCUCCUGGGAUAACACUGACGCUCAUGCACGAAAGCGUGGGGAGCAAAC